rnacentral:tRNA from 1 species
UAAAUUGACCCCCCUGGUUUGGGUUUUUAGUUGUUCACUAAGGUUUAUGGGAUCGAGGCCCCUCGAUCUAG